rnacentral:rRNA from 1 species
AACGCGAAGAACCUUACCAGGCUUUGACAUGCUCUCUGUAGACCCUAGAAAUAGGAUCUUUCACCUCGGGUGGGAGAUGCACAGGUGCUGCAUGGCUGUCGUCAGCUCGUGUCGUGAGAUGUUGGGUUAAGUCCCGCAACGAGCGCAACCCUCGUCCCCUGUUGCUAACGCGUAAUGGCGAGAACUCUGGGGAAACUGCCGGUGAUAAGCCGGAGGAAGGUGGGGAUGACGUCAAGUCCUCAUGGCCCUUACAGCCUGGGCUACACACGUGUUACAAUGGCGUUGACAAUGCGUUGCUACCCUGCAAGGGGAUGCCAAUCGCAAAAAGACGCCUCAGUUCGGAUUGUACUCUGCAACUCGAGUACAUGAAGCUGGAAUCGCUAGUAAUCGCGCAUCAUCGCGGCGCGGUGAAUACGUUCCCGGGCUUGUACACACCGCUCGCGA